AUUGAACGCUGGCGGCAGGCCUAACACAUGCAAGUCGAGCGGCAGCGGGAAAGUAGCUUGCUACUUUUGCCGGCGAGCGGCGGACGGGUGAGUAAUGCCUGGGAAAUUGCCCAGUCGAGGGGGAUAACAGCUGGAAACGACUGCUAAUACCGCAUACGCCCUACGGGGGAAAGCAGGGGACCUUCGGGCCUUGCGCGAUUGGAUAUGCCCAGGUGGGAUUAGCUAGUUGGUGAGGUAAUGGCUCACCAAGGCGACGAUCCCUAGCUGGUCUGAGAGGAUGAUCAGCCACACUGGAACUGAGACACGGUCCAGACUCCUACGGGAGGCAGCAGUGGGGAAUAUUGCACAAUGGGGGAAACCCUGAUGCAGCCCUGCCGCGUGUGUGAAGAAGGCCUUCGGGUUGUAAAGCACUUUCAGCGAGGAGGAAAGGUUGAUGCCUAAUACGUAUCAACUGUGACGUUACUCGCAGAAGAAGAAGCGGCUAACUCCUUGCCACCAGCCGCGGUAUUACGAAGCGUGCAGGAUGUAUCUCAA
rnacentral:rRNA from 1 species